rnacentral:misc_RNA from 1 species
UUAUAAGAUUUGCUUUCUCUGCUCAGACGGUGCAAUAAUAACUGAAAAUAGUUUGAAAGGUUUGUUCACAAAGAGACGCCCAGUGGGCGGGAGUGUUCUCCGUCUUCCGGUCACCGACAUUUGCGAGAAACGUAGCCCCCAUUACGGCCAGCGAUACCACACCAGGAUUAGAGGCCCUACGAUCGCUCGUGCCUUAGCAGUUAACGGGCAGGUCUCGUGAGAGAGGAUAUCCCUUUUCACAUCCGGCAUCGGCACAAAAAUCCUGCGUUCAUCGCGACUGAGCGGCGAAGCCUAGGGCUUCCGGUUCCCUCCGACCAAAGCCUACACUCACACUUCUUAUUCUAAUGAUCCUUCCGCAGGUUCACCUACGGAAA